GGCGGGCUGGGUGAGGCGGCGCUGGCGCCGGUGCUCGCUGUGGGGGCAGGUGCCCAGGCCCCGGCCGAUCGCCUCGGCCGCCCGGUC
rnacentral:tRNA from 1 species